rnacentral:rRNA from 1 species
AGCAGCCGCGGUAAUUCCAGCUCCAAUAGCGUAUAUUAAAGUUGUUGCAGUUAAAAAGCUCGUAGUUGAAUUUCGGGAUCAAUUAAUCGGUCGUGCCUCUGGUACGCACUGGUUUUAUUGGUUUCUCCCUUCUGACGAACCAGGAUGUCAUUAAUUUGGUGUCUUGGAGAAUCAGGACUGUUACUUUGAAAAAAUUAGAGUGUUUAAAGCAGGCUAACGCUUGAAUACAUUAGCAUGGAAUAAUGAAAUAGGACGUUUGAUCCUAUUUUGUUGGUUUCUAGGAUCGACGUAAUGAUUAAUAGGGAUAGUUGGGGGCAUUAGUAUUCAAUUGUCAGAGGUGAAAUUCUUGGAUUUAUUGAAGACUAACUACUGCGAAAGCAUUUGCCAAGGAUGUUUUCAUUAAUCAAGAACGAAAGUUAGGGGAUCGAAGACGAUCAGAUACCGUCGUAGUCUUAACCAUAAACUAUGCCGACUAGGGAUCGGAUGAUGUUAAUUUUUUAAUGUACUCAUUCGGCGCCUU